rnacentral:rRNA from 1 species
GACGUAGGGCGCGAGCGUUGUCCGGAUUUAUUGGGCGUAAAGAGCUCGUAGGCGGUUUGUCGCGUCGGCCGUGAAAUCUCCACGCUUAACGUGGAGCGUGCGGUCGAUACGGGCAGACUUGAGUUCGGUAGGGGAGACUGGAAUUCCUGGUGUAGCGGUGAAAUGCGCAGAUAUCAGGAGGAACACCGGUGGCGAAGGCGGGUCUCUGGGCCGAUAUUGACGCUGAGGAGCGAAAGCGUGGGGAGCGAACAGG